rnacentral:snRNA from 1 species
GUGCUCGCUUCGGCAGCACGUAUACUAAAAUUGGAACGAUACAGAGACCUUCUGCAUGACCCCUGCAAAAAAAAAAAAAAAAAUGUAAAGAUGGGAUUUUU